rnacentral:rRNA from 1 species
UGCAGUCGAGCGGAGUUGACGGAGUGCUUGCACUCCUGAUGGUUAGCGGCGGACGGGUGAGUAACACGUAGGCAACCUGCCCUCAAGACUGGGAUAACUACCGGAAACGGUAGCUAAUACCGGAUAAUUUAUUUUGCAGCAUUGUGAAAUAAUGAAAGGCGGAGCAAUCUGUCACUUGAGGAUGGGCCUGCGGCGCAUUAGCUAGUUGGUGGGGUAACGGCUCACCAAGGCGACGAUGCGUAGCCGACCUGAGAGGGUGAACGGCCACACUGGGACUGAGACACGGCCCAGACUCCUACGGGAGGCAGCAGUAGGGAAUCUUCCGCAAUGGGCGAAAGUCUGACGGAGCAACGCCGCGUGAGUGAUGAAGGUUUUCGGAUCGUAAAGCUCUGUUGCCAAGGAAGAACGUCUUCUAGAGUAACUGCUAGGAGAGUGACGGUACUUGAGAAGAAAGCCCCGGCUAACUACGUGCCAGCAGCCGCGGUAAUACGUAGGGGGCAAGCGUUGUCCGGAAUUAUUGGGCGUAAAGCGCGCGCAGGCGGUUCUUUAAGUCUGGUGUUUAAUCCCUGAGGGCUCAACUUCGGGUCGCACUGGAAACUGGGGAACUUGAGUGCAGAAGAGGAGAGUGGAAUUCCACGUGUAGCGGUGAAAUGCGUAGAUAUGUGGAGGAACACCAGUGGCGAAGGCGACUCUCUGGGCUGUAACUGACGCUGAGGCGCGAAAG